GGGUGGAUGUAGCCAAGUGGUUAAAGGCAGUGGAUUGUGAAUUCAUCACGCACGGAUUCGAAUCGCGUCGUUCGCCCA